CAAAUACUAAUUCUAACCCUAAUCACCAGCAGUCUGCAAACAUUUCCCCUCUCCUCCCUUUCCUCUUCACUCAUGCUUUCCUCCUUAUCACUCUCUCAAGUAGUUCCUCAUUUCACUUUGAGAAAAAGCUCUUUAACAUUUGGAUCUAAAGGAUAUACAUGCUCCCCCUUCCCUUUAACCAACUAGUAGCCUGAUUUCUAAGUUUGUGCAGUAUUAUACUUGUAUUCCUCCAAUAUAACGUGUGCUAGAAACGGGUCCACUGUGCUCCAACUGCAAGCUCUACAAUGAACAGCAGCCUAGCAGAAAAGGAGUGCUCCCAGGAUGACAUCAGCCUACCAGAAGAGGAGGUGAGGACGUUAUUUGUCAGUGGGCUGCCUUUAGAUAUCAAACCUAGAGAACUCUACUUAUUAUUCAGACCAUUUAAGGGCUAUGAAGGUUCCUUAAUAAAGCUCACAUCAAAGCAGCCUGUAGGGUUUGUCAGUUUUGACAGUCGGUCAGAAGCAGAAGCAGCCAAGAACGCAUUAAAUGGAAUUCGUUUUGAUCCAGAAAUUCCUCAGACGUUACGGCUGGAGUUUGCUAAAGCAAACACAAAAAUGGCCAAGAGUAAGCUUGUCGGCACCCCAAACCCCAGCACACCUCAACUGAACAGCGUACCUCACUUUAUCUCCAGAGAUCAAUAUGAACUCACAGUGCCUGCACUUUAUCCAGGUUCGCUGGAUCCCACCCUCAGAUGCUACUUCUCAGGGAUGGAAGUCCCGCCAGUUCUGCUGAGUAAUGUAUACCAGGUGUGUGAUGGUGGCUACAGUCUGUCUUGUGGGUAUUGAUGUAUUCUUCCUUGUUGGCCACUGAAGUCUCAGGCUAUAUAUCACAACAACAGUGUGCUGGCUUGAAAACCAUCAUCAUUGUGAUUCCUCCAAGACUUUGACCCAGCCUCUAUCACACAUCUGCCUUCCAAAAAAACAAAAAAAACAACAACAAAAAAAACCCCCAAGUGAACAUCUUUUUCUUUGACACUGUAAAGAACUGCAAUGUGCCUUAUGUGAAUUCUUGGCUUCCCAUGCAUUGCAAUCUAGUUUAUGCUUUCAAUCCAAAGCAAAACAACUGACGGCAUAACCACUUAUAGCAAGCAAUGUAUGACCCAAGCAACCUUACACUGUGUUCAGACACACUAGUUUAUAUAAUAAGAUAUAUCUAUUUUUGUUUGACUUUUUAAGCUGCAUGUCAUACGCAUGAUUUGCGAUAUUUCAAACCUAAAACUCCCUAAACGAGCUGUAUUAUAAGAUAUGAAUUUUGUGACCAUACUAUUUUUGUUAAAGCAAGCUGUAUAUAUACUGAAUACACUUUGGUGUGCUUAUGCAGUAUUACAUAGUGUUUAUACCAAUACAUAUAAAGAGGGUGCAGGUUAAACCGGAUUAGGAAAAAAGAUUUUUCUAUCAUUGGAAUGUAUGAAGCAUUUUGUAAUUUAGGAAUAUUUUGAAUGGGUAUAUAUCUUGUGUAUUGGUUAGUCUGCUAAACGGUUUUAUUAAUAUUUUUGUUAAUGCAUUUCUGAAGGGAAUUUAAAAUUUCAGGCCAAAAUUUCCAAGUUGAAGAAAUCAAUCAACGUGACUCUUAAGACCUAAGGUUUUUUUGUUUUGUUUUUAUUACUUUGUCAACAACUUUGUCCACAAUUCCUCGUUUAGUGAAAUUCUGAACUGUCAUCAGUGUCCAAAUGUCAAACAUAUUUUUUCGCAUAUGCAGUUGAUGGAUUGUCAUUAACAUCUUAUCUGUCUAUGUAUGUGUCGAUGUGCUGGAGCAUAAGCUGCAUGUCAGCAUGACACUCAAACAAACUUAAAAUGCAGUAAAAUACAAUUCCGUCCUUCUAAAUGUCUGUAGAGAGAGAGUGAGCUGUGAAUUGCAUAGUUGCCUUCUGUACCAAAUUUGUAAUCCUGUCUAGGCAAAAAUUGGCACGAUUGUAGGUAAAAUAUGCCGUAGGCUGCCUAACCUUUGUCUACAGUAGAGUUUUAUUUUUAAAAAUGAGCAUACAAAAUUAAGCCCUGUCCUCAAACUCACACUAUAGUACACAUCAGCCCCAAUACAUACCAUAAAAAACAAAAAUGGUUACUUGCGCACUUAACAAAAUCCCUAUGUCCAUUUAAAUAACUGGAGUGUUUUUUUUUUUUAUCACUCCAGGGGUCAUUAAAGUGUAAGCUCGCCUGCCACAUCAGGGCAAAACCUCUUAGUUGAGUCCUACACUAACUUUUUUUAGAUUUUUAGCUUUGAGUGGCACAGAGUACUGAAGGUAUACAGUGGAACCUCGAAACUCCAACUUAAUCCGUUCCAGAAAGCUGUUCGAGUUCCGAUUUGUUAGAGAACCGAAUAAACAUUUCCCAUAAGAAUUUAUGUAAAUUUGAUUAAUCCUUUCCAGACCCCCCAAAUUACAACAUUUUAACACAAAUGUUACAGUUUAAUAAUACCUUACAUGCAUAAAAUCAUAUAGAAAAAAAAUAAUGAACACAAUGUACAGUAAAUGAAAAGAAAAUGUGACUUCACUUUACCUGUAAUGAUGAGAGUUGAUGGUGUAAGUGGAAAGGAGAAGAGAUAUUGUUUGGAUGAGGAUAAGUAACUGUUCUUCUGGAAUUUAAAAUGUGUCUAAAGUGAGACACAUUUUAUAAUUAAACAUGUUUGAUGCAUGAUUUGUUUGGGUACUGAGGAUCGUUUGUGUACGGAGACAUUUUUUUUCUCAAAAUAUUUGUUCAACUACCGAAUUGUUCAGAUAAGGGGCCAUUCGAGUGACGAGGUUUCACUGUACUUAUAAAAA